rnacentral:rRNA from 1 species
UACAGAGGUGGCGAGCGUUAUUCGGAAUUAUUGGGCGUAAAGGGCGCGUAGGCGGCCACGCAAGUCUUGGGUGAAAUCCCUCGGCUCAACCGAGGAACUGCCUUGGAAACUGCAUGGCUCGAGGCCGGGAGAGGGUAGCGGAAUUCCCAGUGUAGCGGUGAAAUGCGUAGAUAUUGGGAGGAACACCGGUGGCGAAGGCGGCUACCUGGACCGGUAUUGACGCUGAUGCGCGAAAGCCAGGGGAGCAAACGGG